rnacentral:lncRNA from 1 species
AAGAGUCUCUUGGAUAUUUCAAAGUGUGCUGUGUGGCUUUGCUCACUAUACAACUCUUGUAGGUGAGUGAUUAUAGUCCUAGUAGUGGGCAUAUACUUAUGCUGGCUCUGUAACUUGUUUGACAUAGAAGCCAGCACAUAGCACUUAACUCGACUGUCUUCAUCCGUCCACUUUUCAUAUGCUAUUUUUUGCUCAGCAGUAGGACAGUUUGGUAACAUUAAAGAUUUUUGAUCGAGUACAUGAUCUAAUUUUUUAUAAGUCAAGACAAUCAUGAUAUUUUUAAGCCAGUCUAUAAUUUAUUCUGAUCAAAUGAUUAAACUCAAGGAUGC